GCCGCGUGAGCGAAGAAGGCCUUCGGGUCGUAAAGCUCAGUCAUUGGGGAUGAAAAGGACAGUACCCAAAGAGGAAGCCCCGGCUAACUACGUGCCAGCAGCCGCGG
rnacentral:rRNA from 1 species